rnacentral:rRNA from 1 species
AUUGAACGCUGGCGGCAUGCCUUACACAUGCAAGUCGAACGGCAGCACGGGAGCAAUCCUGGUGGCGAGUGGCGAACGGGUGAGUAAUAUAUCGGAACGUGCCCAGUCGUGGGGGAUAACGUAGCGAAAGCUACGCUAAUACCGCAUACGAUCUAUGGAUGAAAGCGGGGGAUCGCAAGACCUCGCGCGAUUGGAGCGGCCGAUAUCAGAUUAGGUAGUUGGUGAGGUAAAGGCUCACCAAGCCGACGAUCUGUAGCUGGUCUGAGAGGACGACCAGCCACACUGGGACUGAGACACGGCCCAGACUCCUACGGGAGGCAGCAGUGGGGAAUUUUUGGGACAAUGGGCGCAAGCCUGAUCCAGCAAUGCCGCGUGCAGGAUGAAGGCCUCGGUUGUAACUAGCUUUGUUACGGUAACGAAACCGGUA